rnacentral:misc_RNA from 1 species
UGAAGCUCCAAUAGAUGUCUUGGUUUAAGCCUCUCUUUGGUUAAGCCAUGUAUAAUGACUAUUGUUGGGAGGCCUUUGAUUCUUUACCUUUUAUGUAAAACGUUUUCGACGACUCCAGUGGUAGUUGGACUUUAGUUGGAUGGGCUUAGUUACUUACUUUUCUCUGUAUACAGACUUUUAUCUUGUAUUUGACCCCAUGCUUUUUUAUUGAUUAAAAAAG